GGGGAAUAUUGGACAAUGGGCGCAAGCCUGAUCCAGCCAUGCCGCGAGGGUGAAGAAGGCCUUCGGGUUGUAAAGCCCUUAUGUUGGGAAAGAAAAGCAGCCGGCCAAUACCCGGUUGUUCUGACGGUACCCAAAGAAUAAGCACCGGCUAACUUCGUGCCAGCAGCCGCGGUAAUACGAAGGGUGCAAGCGUUACUCGGAAUUACUGGGCGUAAAGCGUGCGUAGGUGGUGGUUUAAGUCCGUUGUGAAAGCCCUGGGCUCAACCUGGGAACUGCAGUGGAUACUGGAUCACUAGAUUGUGGCGAAGGAUAGUGGAAUUCCCGGUGUAGCAGUGAAAUGCGUAGAAUUCGGGAGAAACAUCAGUGGCAAAGGCGACUACCUGGGCCAACACUAACACUGAGGCACGAAGGCGUGGGGAGCAACCA
rnacentral:rRNA from 1 species